UUUUUUUUUUUUUUUGGAGACAAAAAACUGGUAGGCCACCGCAGCCAGCUAAUGGUUUGUAUUUUUAGUAGAGACGGGGUUUUGCCACGUUGGCCAGGCUGUUCUCGAACUUCUGACCUCGGGUGAUCCGCACGCCUCGACCUCCCAAAGUGCUUGGAUUACAGGUGUGAGCCAUCUUGCCUGGCCAAAAGAUCCAUUUCUUUAGUUCCAGAAAAGUCCCUCUACCAACUCUCAUUGGUCUGGCUCAGAUCAUGGGGCCAACCCUAAGCCAAUCUCUGAUUAGCCAGACUUGGGUCCUGUUUCCAUUCCUAGAGCUGGGGAUGGGUGUGCCUCAUCUAAACCAUGCUGUCUGAAGAGCAAGGGAAUGGUUUACCACUACUACCCUGCUUGAGAAAAAAACAUUUUUUGACAGUUUAAACUGCAUCAUUGACUGCAAUGAAGAAAACUUAGAAGUUAGCAAAUCAUCUCUAAACAUUUUAAAGGAAUGAAGCAGAAAAUGUAAGACAGGCUAGUAAUUGAUCCAAAGGAGAAAUUCUGAAGGCCAGAAGAUAGGAGUCAGCUAAUACUGUAAUAAAUAAUUUAGAUAAUAUCCAUAUAGAACAACUGUAGGUCCAAUCCAUCCGAGUGCAACGCUGAAGGGACAUAUUGAUUGCAUAGGCCAGAAUGUUGGCAAAAAGCUGAUAAAUCCUGCAGGGUGCCACCUGACCACGUGCUGCAAACAAAUAACAGCUAUAGAGAGGAGAGGCUUGGUUCAAUUUCGGUCUUGACUGGUCUGAAGACUCCAGAGGCGGGACGAAUUUGCGGACAGUUCUACCCCAUCCCACAUGGCGUCAGCUUCCCUUCCAUUCUCAUGACUCCAUGGUCCAUGGCUCCAACCUGGGCCUCUGUUAGGCUGUGUCCUGUGGCACCUUAAACUCAGGCAAAUUAAAAACUGUUCGUGGACUCUACUCUGCUCCCACCUAACCCUCCAUCCAAGUCAUUGUCCAAGCCAGAAACGGGAGUCAUCUCAGAUACCUUUCCCACCCUCACCCCACAUGCAAUCGCUGGAUUCCAUUCACCUUCUAAGUGUCUCAGUUCAUUCUUCCAUCCCUCCCGCCACUGGUUUAGUUAGGCACCUCCAUUCUCACCUGGACCAUCGCUGUAGCCUCGGAGCUUCUGACUGUGUCUCUGGUUGCAGCCCCUACACGCCCUCCUCACAGGAGCAGAGCGAUCUUUCUAAACUGCGAAAUCAAAUCCUUCCAGCACCUGGAGCGAAGGCCAAGCUCCUCAGCUUAGAAGCUAGGCUGCCAGCAUGUGGAGUGGGAAUGGAAAAGUACAUCGGGGCACGAGGGGUAUUCGGAUGAGGGAAGGCCAGUAUCGGUCGCUGAGACCUUAGAGUGUUUCCGAGCUGAGGAGGAAGAUAUUCACGCGGGCAAGGGGACCCCAUCCGUGAAACAGGCCCUGGGGAGGCUGAAGGAGCGCGGCGCGAGCGAAGGCAGAGGGCGGGGCCCCGAGGCCGGCAGGCGCUGCAGUGUCGGGGGCGGCGAGUCAGCCAGGGCC
rnacentral:lncRNA from 1 species